rnacentral:rRNA from 1 species
GAUGAACGCUGGCGGCGUGCCUAAUACAUGCAAGUCGAGCGAACGGACGAGAAGCUUGCUUCUCUGAUGUUAGCGGCGGACGGGUGAGUAACACGUGGAUAACCUACCUAUAAGACUGGGAUAACUUCGGGAAACCGGAGCUAAUACCGGAUAAUAUUUUGAACCGCAUGGUUCAAAAGUGAAAUACGGUCUUGCUGUCACUUAUAGAUGGAUCCGCGCUGCAUUAGCUAGUUGGUAAGGUAACGGCUUACCAAGGCAACGAUGCAUAGCCGACCUGAGAGGGUGAUCGGCCACACUGGAACUGAGACAUGGUCCAGACUCCUACGGGAGGCAGCAGUAGGGAAUCUUCCGCAAUGGGCGAAAGCCUGACGGAGCAACGCCGCGUGAGUGAUGAAGGUCUUCGGAUCGUAAAACUCUGUUAUUAGGGAAGAACAUAUGUGUAAGUAACUGUGCACAUCUUGACGGUACCUAAUCAGAAAGCCACGGCUAACUACGU